rnacentral:rRNA from 1 species
UACGGGGGGGGCAAGCGUUGUUCGGAAUUACUGGGCGUAAAGGGCGCGUAGGCGGUUCGCUAAGUUGAAUGUGAAAACUCUGGGCUUAACCCAGAGCCUGCAUCCAAAACUGGCGAACUGGAGUACUGGAGGGGAAAGCGGAAUUCCACGUGUAGCGGUGAAAUGCGUAGAGAUGUGGAGGAACACCAGUGGCGAAGGCGGCUUUCUGGUCUGUAACUGACGCUGAGGCGCGAAAGCGUGGGGAGCAAACGGG